GAUGAAUGCUGGCGGCGUGCCUAACACAUGCAAGUCGAGCGGCAGCGCGGGUAGUUUACUACCUGGCGGCGAGCGGCGGACGGCUGAGUAACGCGUGGGAACGUGCCCCAAAGUGAGGAAUAACUGCCCGAAAGGGUAGCUAAUACCGCAUAUGAUCUUCGGAUUAAAGGAUUUAUCCGCUUUGGGAGCGGCCCGCGUACGAUUAGAUAGUUGGUGAGGUAAUGGCUCACCAAGUCGACGAUCGUUAACUGGUCUGAGAGGAUGAUCAGUCACACUGGGACUGAGACACGGCCCAGACUCCUACGGGAGGCAGCAGUGGGGAAUAUUGGACAAUGGGCGGAAGCCUGAUCCAGCAACGCCGCGUGAGGGAUGACGGCCUUCGGGUUGUAAACCUCUUUCAGUACCGACGAAGCGUGAGUGACGGUAGGUACAGAAGAAGGACCGGCCAACUACGUGCCAGCAGCCGCGGUAAAAC
rnacentral:rRNA from 1 species